rfam:Brochothrix thermosphacta DSM 20171 = FSL F6-1036 c17, whole genome shotgun sequence.
UUUGGUAGUAAUAGCAAGAAGGAUACACCUGUUCCCAUCCCGAACACAGUAGUUAAGCUUUUUAGCGCCGAUGGUAGUUGGGGGUUUCCCCCUGUGAGAGUAGGACAUUGCCAAGC